UAGCGAACAGACUGUAGAUGAAAGCUGAAAGAGGAGUGGGACACUGAGAAGCAUCAGCGCUGUCAGAGCAUGUUCAGCCCUCAGGGACAGCCGGGGACCGGACGUCACAGCUCUGGGUUUUCUACCUGCAGCCCUGGAGUCAGCUGAGAGGUUCAGUCGCGGUGUGUGUGUGUGUGUGUGGCCGGCGAGCAGAGAGAGGAGGAAGCUGCUGAAUGCAAACUGCCCUCCAGUGGACACAGCAUGUGCUGCACUCAUGCUGCUCUGUCCCAGUUUCCCCUCCUGCUCCACUCUUUCUCAUUUCACUAACUUUCACUACCGCUGCAGUCAGCUGCACGCUCGUCUGAGGAGAUAAGUGCACCGCAUAGGAAAGACUGGUUCUAGGCACCCUGGGAAGUGAAGAAUAAAACAGCUGCUGCACGCAUCAGGAAACAAUUGUCUG